rnacentral:rRNA from 1 species
ACGCUCGACACCUACGGGUGGCAGCAGUGGGGAAUAUUGCACAAUGGGGGAAACCCUGAUGCAGCGACGCCGCGUGAGCGAAGAAGUAUUUCGGUAUGUAAAGCUCUAUCAGCAGGGAAGAAACUGACGGUACCUGACUAAGAAGCACCGGCUAAAUACGUGCAAGCAGCCGCGGUAAUCUGAGCGGGCUGGCAAGGC